rnacentral:rRNA from 1 species
AUGGCUGCCUAUACAUGCAAGUCGAACGAGCUUCCGUUGAAUGACGUGCUUGCACUGAUUUCAACGAUGAAACGAGUGGCGAACUGGUGAGUAACACGUGGGAAAUCUGCCCAGAAGCAGGGGAUAACACUUGGAAACAGGUGCUAAUACCGUAUAACAACAAAAUCCGCAUGGAUUUUGUUUGAAAGGUGGCUUCGGCUAUCACUUCUGGAUGAUCCCGCGGCGUAUUAGUUAGUUGGUGAGGUAAAGGCCCACCCCAACGAUGAUACGUAGCCGACCUGAGAGGGUAAUCGGCCCCAUUGGGACUGAGACACGGGCCAAACUCCUACGGGGGGCAACUGUAUGGAAUCUUCCGCAAUGGACGAAAGUCUGAUGGAGCAAUGCCGCGCGAGUGAAUAAGGGUUUCGGCUCGCAAAACUCUGUUGUUAAAGAAGAACACCUUUGAGAGUAACUGUUCAAGGGUUGACGGUAUUUAACCAGAAAGCCACGGCUAACUACGUGCCCGCAGCCGCGGUAAUACGUAGGUGGCAAGCGUUGUCCGGAUUUAUUGGGCGUAAAGCGAGCGCAGGCGGUUUUUUAAGUCUGACGUGAAAGCCUUCGGCUUAACCGGAGAAGUGCAUCGGAAACUGGGAGACUUGAGUGCAGAACAUAACACUGGAACUCCAUGUGUAGCGCUGGAAUGGGUAGAUAUAUGGAACAACACCUGUGGCGAAGGCGGCUGUCUCUUAUACAACUGACACUGAGGCUCGAAAGCAUGGGUUGCGAACACGAUUAGAUACCCUGGUAGUCCAUGCCGUAAACGAUCACUGCUCGUGUUUGGAGGGUUUCCGCCCUUCAGUGCUGCAGCUAGCGCAUUAAGCAGACCGUCUGGGGAGUACGACCGCAAAGUUGAAGCUCGAAGGAAUUGACGGCCGAUCCCACAAGCGGUGGAGCAUGUGGUUUAAUUCGAAGCUACGCGAAGAACCUUACCAGGUCUUGACAUCUUCUGCCAAUCUUAGAGAUAAGACGUUCCCUUCGGGGACAGAAUGACAGGUGGUGCAUGGUUGUCGUCAGCUCGUGUCGUGAGAUGUUGGGUUAAGUCCCGCAACGAGCGCAACCCUUAUUAUCAGUUGCCAGCAUUCAGUUGGGCACUCUGGUGAGACUGCCGGUGACAAACCGGAGGAAGGUGGGGAUGACGUCAAAUCAUCAUGCCCCUUAUGACCUGGGCUACACACGUGCUACAAUGGACG